UCCCUGUGAAAAAACAUUCACACAUCUUACCUCCUGUCCUAGUCCCAGAACCUGUAGAGGUGAACCCACCGGGGCUGGCUGGGGGGAGAAGAGGAAGGCUUAUUCCAGAAAGAACCAUAUGAGGGAA
rnacentral:snoRNA from 1 species